UAAACGCGUUCACAUCGCAGCUUUAACGAAACGCGUUUGGUUCCUUCCUCAUGGGUCCCAGUCAACGCGGAAGUGUCUCCAUGCUGUAGUUGACAGUCAUUCAUUUCAUAAAAAUCAAACAUCAUGCGUUACCUGUCCUGUGGGUGAAGUGCACAGUCCACUCAAAACUGUCAGAAGAUGUUGCGCAGAAGAACAAACGGACGAGAAGAUGCGGACAGUGUUAAACCUACCUGAUAGAAAGAAGGUGUGCACCUGUGACAGAGUCGGUCUGGGUUUCAGCCGAAGAUCCCUGCAGGCACAGAGAAAGUCUGGGGAAUAUCAACCACCAGAAGGAAGGUGGUCAAAGCUGCAGAUAUAGUCACACCCUUCAUCCUGAUUGGCUCUGAGCUGGGCACGCUCAACGGCAGAUUCUACAGUCACAUCCAUGACUCGCAAGUGUCUGACCUGGUGUUGAUCGAUCCGAUCCCAGAGGAUGUCUUUGAAGAGGAGAAGUGGCAGCAGUUCUGGAGAGUCAUCAGAGUGUGUGAGGCACAAACACAAUUCGUCAAAUCCCAAAUCCAUCCUAAUGCUGAGAGCCAGAGGAAGAAAUGAUGAAGUGUAUCUUUUUUUAAAGGUGUUAAAAUACUUUUUUACUUUAGGUAAGCCAAUCAGAGGUUGAUUUCUUUAGCAUACAGACUGUAGCUGUUUGUUUGAUCAUCCUGACUUAUCAGACACAAUGAAAACAGUCAUUUUUUAGCAAUUAUUGAGUUUGGUUAUGCUAGUGGAACAAUAUUACACACUUCACUUUUAACUUGCUUUUGCAGGAAAAUAAUAAAUUGAA